rnacentral:rRNA from 2 species
UGCAGUCGAGCGAACAGAUAAGGAGCUUGCUCCUUUGACGUUAGCGGCGGACGGGUGAGUAACACGUGGGUAACCUACCUAUAAGACUGGGAUAACUUCGGGAAACCGGAGCUAAUACCGGAUAACAUUUGGAACCGCAUGGUUCUAAAGUGAAAGAUGGUUUUGCUAUCACUUAUAGAUGGACCCGCGCCGUAUUAGCUAGUUGGUAAGGUAACGGCUUACCAAGGCGACGAUACGUAGCCGACCUGAGAGGGUGAUCGGCCACACUGGAACUGAGACACGGUCCAGACUCCUACGGGAGGCAGCAGUAGGGAAUCUUCCGCAAUGGGCGAAAGCCUGACGGAGCAACGCCGCGUGAGUGAUGAAGGGUUUCGGCUCGUAAAACUCUGUUAUUAGGGAAGAACAAAUGUGUAAGUAACUGUGCACGUCUUGACGGUACCUAAUCAGAAAGCCACGGCUAACUACGUGCCAGCAGCCGCGGUAAUACGUAGGUGGCAAGCGUUAUCCGGAAUUAUUGGGCGUAAAGCGCGCGUAGGCGGUUUCUUAAGUCUGAUGUGAAAGCCCACGGCUCAACCGUGGAGGGUCAUUGGAAACUGGGAAACUUGAGUGCAGAAGAGGAAAGUGGAAUUCCAUGUGUAGCGGUGAAAUGCGCAGAGAUAUGGAGGAACACCAGUGGCGAAGGCGACUUUCUGGUCUGUAACUGACGCUGAUGUGCGAAAGCGUGGGGAUCAAACAGGAUUAGAUACCCUGGUAGUCCACGCCGUAAACGAUGAGUGCUAAGUGUUAGGGGGUUUCCGCCCCUUAGUGCUGCAGCUAACGCAUUAAGCACUCCGCCUGGGGAGUACGACCGCAAGGUUGAAACUCAAAGGAAUUGACGGGGACCCGCACAAGCGGUGGAGCAUGUGGUUUAAUUCGAAGCAACGCGAAGAACCUUACCAAAUCUUGACAUCCUUUGAAAACUCUAGAGAUAGAGCCUUCCCCUUCGGGGGACAAAGUGACAGGUGGUGCAUGGUUGUCGUCAGCUCGUGUCGUGAGAUGUUGGGUUAAGUCCCGCAACGAGCGCAACCCUUAAGCUUAGUUGCCAUCAUUAAGUUGGGCACUCUAGGUUGACUGCCGGUGACAAACCGGAGGAAGGUGGGGAUGACGUCAAAUCAUCAUGCCCCUUAUGAUUUGGGCUACACACGUGCUACAAUGGACAAUACAAAGGGCAGCUAAACCGCGAGGUCAUGCAAAUCCCAUAAAGUUGUUCUCAGUUCGGAUUGUAGUCUGCAACUCGACUACAUGAAGCUGGAAUCGCUAGUAAUCGUAGAUCAGCAUGCUACGGUGAAUACGUUCCCGGGUCUUGUACACACCGCCCGUCACACCACGAGAGUUUGUAACACCCGAAGCCGGUGGAGUAACCAUUUAUGGAGCUAGC